UACGGGGGGGGUAAGCGUUGUUCGGAAUUACUGGGCGUAAAGGGCUCGUAGGCGGCCAACUAAGUCGGACGUGAAAUCCCUCGGCUUAACCGGGGAACUGCGUCCGAUACUGGAUGGCUUGAGUUUGGGAGAGGGAUGCGGAAUUCCAGGUGUAGCGGUGAAAUGCGUAGAUAUCUGGAGGAACACCGGUGGCGAAGGCGACAUCCUGGACCGGUAUUGACGCUGAGGCGCGAAAGCCAGGGGAGCAAACGGG
rnacentral:rRNA from 1 species